rnacentral:rRNA from 1 species
CCCUUAGAUGUUCUGGGCCGCACGCGCGUUACAAUGAAUCGUUCAACAGGUUUCUUCCUGAGUCGAAAGGCUUGGGUAAUCCUUUAAAUACGGUUCGUGCUAGGGAUAGAUUUUUGCAAUUAUUAAUCUUGAACGAGGAAUAUUUAGUAAACGCAGGUCAUCAGCCUGCAUUGAUUACGUCCCUGCCCUUUGUACACACCGCCCGUCGCUACUACCGAUUGAACGGUUUAGUGAGGGCCUCGGAUUGGUCUCGGCCCGCUCUUUACCGGGCGGCGCCGUUGGUCGAGAAGACGCUCGAACUUGAUCGUUUAGAGGAAGUAAAAGUCGUAACA